GUGGACUUGUCGGUGCCGGUAAAAUAUUCUUUGCUUCAUUUCGUCUUUUUCCAGCUUGGUGGUAGGUGAGGGAAAAAAUGAGACUGGCCAUGUUUGGGACUUGGGAGAUAGGUUCAGUUCCAAAAAAAAUUUAGUAAAGUUAUAAAAUAAGUUAUUAGGUGUUUUAGAAAAUCGUGAAGAUGAAACAAUAAACUUUGCGAAAACAUUUAUAUAAGUUAUUUUGUUUAUUAUUUAAAUUAAAAAUAUUUUUAAAACUAUUAUAUCUUUCAAAACACCCCCUAGUGUAAGGAAAGCUACAUGGAUCUGGGCAGUUUGAAACUUCGAAUGGAAUACUUCCACAUGCUAUGAGUAGUUGACUGCUUACUGAUUUUCAUUUGUAGUAUAUGGUUGUUUCGUUGAUGACACGUCCAUGAUCUAGGUUUUUUUUUUCGUUAAGUAGGAUAAAAGCGGAAAGAGAAACUCCGAAGAUGCAACUCAUAUGUUUGCUGGGCCUGGGCAGUGGUAAAAAAACGUGUUCCAGAUCUGAAGGCGCCCAUGCAUGUUCCGAUGACCGUGCCGGACGCUGUGCUGCCCCUGCCCGUGCACGAGCAGCUCGUGCGACGUGAACACGCGGGCUUACCUAACGUUUCAGCGGCGACGACGUGACGGUCGCGAACCCACGUUCAGUGGCCAUCUCUAUCCACCGCGAACCCACGUACAGUGGCCACGUUGAGCGUGCCGCGAGCGUAGCCAGUGUUCCUGCCACGUUUUUUUAAAAAAAUUGGUAGGCCGCGCUGGCGAUCAGCGACCCGGCCAACUAUAUGCUGGUAUGGUCGGUGGGACAGGAGUGGCCCGCCCGUACGGUGGUAGUGGCACAAGUUUGGGUGUACGCGUGCACCCAAGUUUGGUAGUGGCACCCAUCAUAUUUAACUAUUUGUUUUAUCCAAUCCUUAAACAAUAAAGUGAAGAAAUUAUUAUUAAAAUACUAUUGUUAAUAAAACCAAUAUAAUGUUUAUAUAAAUUUUUUUGAAUGAAACAAACCGACAAGUAAGACAGCUAAAAGUUUAAAAGGGAGAGAGAGUACAUGAUAGUGUAUAGGAUUGGUAGCGGAGUAUACUACUACUGUACUCGUAAAGGUUGUAGGCACGAAUGAUGUGAACUAUCUAUCUAUGGGAUAAAAAGUUUGAGGUAGUUUAACGUUUAUGCCAACCCACCAACGACCUAGCUAGCUACUAGCACAACUAACUACAACACCCCGAAAAAAAAAGGAAAUACUGUAUUUCUUGUUUCAGUAACUGAUGGGAUCCCGUGAACAGCUAGCACAUGCAGCUGGCCAAGUCAGAACUGAAGAACUAGCACAUGCAACUAGCACAUGGCUACUAGCACAUGCAGGCGCAGCUGGCGCGACGCUGCGCCUGCGGUGCAGCAGGACCUCGUGAAUAAACCGCUAACACUGUUUGAUAGGAGCAUCUAAUCUAACUGCGGAAACUAACAAUCCAAACUGAACACGGCUGAGUCAGAACUGAAGAGUGGUCUGACCUGAUGAGCUCCCUCUGGAGCGCGCCGCCUUCCUUGGUGCGGCGGUGGGAGGUAGCGCCGAAGCCGGUGGUGACGCCGUAGCUGUCGGUGCCGUUCAUCAUGCUGCCCAUGACCCAGUCGCUGCUGGCCCUGACGCGCUCGCGAGCGGACUCGUCCAGCUCCACGCGGGCCUCGCCGCCCCCGGCGCCCACGGCCACGGCGGCCACCUGCGCGACGCUCAGGCUGGCGCCCUGGAUCUUCACCAGCGGGUCGCGGAACUCCGCCACCAUCCGCUUCACCUCGUCCAGGUGGCUCCCGGACAGGCCCUCCGCGGCCUUGCCCCAGUUCAGCGGGUCGGCGCGCGGCGCCGGCAUGCACAGGCCCUCGCCGUUCAGGGAGGAGCGGACAAGCAGGCCGGCCUCGGACUCCAUUGCGGACGGGGACACGUGCGUGCGCAGAUGAGCGCGCGCGGACGGAAGUAGAAACUAGCUAGCUAGCUGGGGGAAAUUAAAAGCUACUACACAAGAGUAGUACUGCUGGUAACUAACUACUAAUGUGGCAGUGCUGUAGACGAAGAGCUGGGGAAAGGUAGGCUCUUCGUCCUGAGGAGAACGGUGCGGGGGAGGGCGGGCUUAAUAAAUAGCGUGGCCACGGGUGGGAGGGGGAGGUUGUUGGGGUCAGAUCAGAGACUGGCAUGGCACCGGGGUAGGUUGUUGGCGGGCCGAGCUGACUCCGCGACGACGCCUCCCUGUCCCUUGGAUGGGCCGGCCAACCUUCUGCCGCCGGCGCUGGCAGCUUGGCCCGCGCGCAGCCGGUCGUCGCAUGGCCGCCUGCCUGGGAAUACGACACUCGACAUUGACCCGGCGCCGGCCCGUCUGCUCGACGGGGCUCUGGGUAGUCUGGUUGCCGCCGGACGACGGGCGCACGGCACCGCACCAGACGCGGUUGCGCCCGGAGGUGGGCUGGUGGUGGGUGGCCACUGAGUGCGACGGGCUUGGUGGGGGGAGCCCGUGUGUGUCUGGACUGGACGCGAGCUAUUGCCCAAGUAUUAGGUCUCGGUCAGUCGGGUGUCGAGUUGGUCCGGUCCGUUGCCCCGGACCUUACAGGCUUACACACGCAACCACUGGGAGAUUGCAGAUGCUGCAAGUAUGUCACUAGAAAUGGCACGAAAUGACGAGUCCACUUCGUUACGUUAGCACUCACGACUCCCUCUCAGCUGUGGCCUCUAGCUCUAGGGCAUCAAGCAAGUACACAUCAACCGUCCAGAAACUGCGCGCUUGUUUUGCUUUGGUUGCAAUUUCUGCCCGACUCUGAUAACCGGCCGAUUGGAGUAAACAGGGGGAAAAAAUGGAGAAUCAAGUACUCGACUCAAGUAUCGCGAGGUCAAGUUGCCCCCAUAUAAUUCUGCACCAGCAGGAGAACGUCCAAGGAAAGAAAGGCGCUCCAGAUCUGGCGCAGCAUGCAAUCUGUUAACUACUACUUCACCAGCAGCACUAGUCCCCCAUGAAGCACUUCGUUGUGUGAACCAACUCAACCAAGUCAUUCACUGGAAAUGUUGUGGCAAACACUCAUUGUUGUUCCCAAGUUCAGAGAACCGUGUCGUGCAUGAAAUAUUCCACGAUUCAACAUUUUGGACCAAGGAGGAAUUGUAUUUCUUCCUAGAAAGAAAAAAAAAACCAAAGGCGUAAAAUAUUGUUGAAAGCGGCGGUCUAGUAUUAUUUACUUAUUUGUUUGUUUGUUUGUACCAGCACUAUUAUCACUGUAGAUGGCCAACUGGCCGGCCCGACACGACCCGGCACGGGCCCGGGGAAGCACGGCCCAUCAGCCAACGGGCCGGCCCGGGUAUACGGGCUGAACGGGCCGUGCCUAGAGAGCCCACGUGCCUGGCCGUUGGCCCAGGCACGGCCCUCUGGGCCACUUUUUGUGUCGGACCAGCCCGCUAGGCACGCUCAAAAAAACGGGUCGUGCCAGUGCCAGCCCGCUAAUGUUCCCAAACAGCAGAAAAUAUAGAUAAAUUUAACCAAAGUUAAAAAACAGCAGAAAAUAUAGACAAAUAUAAUAAAUGAGUUGUUUUGUGCAAUGCUGCCUCAUUAAAAACCUUUCUAGGUAAAACUCACCCUUGUGAGAAACCCUAGAAAGGAAAAAAGAGUGCAGCCAGCUCAAAGUUUAAUCACUAAGUUUGUAUGUGUUACAAAUGUAUAUUACAAUACAAAAUGACUAUCUCACAAUCACUCAAUGACAAAGGCACAAAGCAGUGAAAGCACAGAUCAGAUGACCACAUCACAGUCUAGAAGUCUAGAACUAAGUAGUAAAUACCAAAAGACACUAAGCAGCAACAUGUUCAUCUUCAUCAAGAAAUAAGUUCUGGAAUGAGUCCUCAAGCUCUGGAUUGUCAACAGCAUGUUGUUCUCUCUUUUCUCCUAAUUCCCAAUCUUUUAAGCAAGUCAGCAUCUCCACAUUCUCAGGCAAUAAGCGUCGUCGUCGCUCCUCAAUUAUCCUCCCUGUCAAACUGAAACAAUACUCCAAAGAGACAGUAGAUACAGGAACAGACAUAAUAUCCCUAGCCAUUAUGGAUAAAACUGGAUAUGUUAGCUUGUGGUCACGCCACCAGAGAAGUACAUCAAAAUCAUCCUCAUAAGAAGUGACAUUGUCACUGUCUAAGUAGGCUGAGAGCUCACAAAUAGCAGAUGAAGAUGAAGCAGAAGGGGUAGAGCUAGGGGGAGGACCAACAACACCUGAACUGGAAUCUCCAAAUAUUCUUUCCCAAGCUUGUUUUCUUUUACCUGUAUGAAUAGAAGGCUGAGCAGCCCUUUGAGCCCUAACUGCACCAAACUUAGUCUCAUAUUUAGUAAACAGUUUAUACAAUUCAUUUUUGACAUCAGCAUAAUAUGUACUGUACUCACACCCAGUGCACUCUCCAAGUAAAUGCAACACAUUAAAAAAACCUCUCAUCUUAGCUCUAGGGUCCAGAAUGAAUGCAUAUGAAUAUAGCAAAGGUAUGUCACUCCAGUAUUUAAGGAAUUUAAGUUGCAUUGGAAACACAAUAGUUCUAAGAUUUAAAUCUCUUUCACAUGCUUUCAAAUGUGAUGCAAUUUCCAGAAUAUGGUGAAGAACUAGUGGACUAGUUGGAUAAUAAACACCAGACAGAACAACAGUAGAGUCAUAGUACAGUUCUAGAAACUCUAAAAUCUUCUCAGCAACAUACCAAUGAUUAGGAGGCAACAAUUGUGACUCAUAAUGUGAAUUGAUGAAGACAGAAAAAACAGUUUUGUAUGGGACCAAGUGUUUAAGCAUCAAAUAAGUAGAAUUCCAUCUAACAUCCAUAUCCAAGCCAAAUUUUCUGGGUCUAACACCCCUUGCUAAGCAGUACUUGUCGGCGUUUCGAGACCGGGGGGGUCCCUAAGCCGACGAGUGAGUGUGCCGCGUGCCCCAGCCCAGAUGGGUCGAGCGCGUGGGCGAGCGCGAAGGGGGGAAGCGAGGUGGCCGGAGACGGGCGUGAGAGAGGUGGAAAUCCCGCGGCCUUCGUGUUCGUCCCGCGCCCAGGUCGGGUGCGCUUGCAGUAGGGGGUUACAAGCGUCCACGCGGGUGAGGGAAGCGAGCGGCCCCAAGAGAGCGCCUGUCCCGUCCUCGUCCCCGCGCGGCCAACCUUCUCUAAGAAGGCCCUGGUCCUUCCUUUAUAGGCGUAAGGAGAGGAUCCAGGUGUACAAUGGGGGUGUAGCAGAGUGCUACGUGUCUAGCGGGGGAGAGCUAGCGCCCUAAGUACAUGCCAAUGUGGCAGCCGGAGAGAUCUUGGCACCCUGCUGGUGUGAUGUCGUGGCUGUCGGAGGAGCAACGGAGCCUGGCGGAGGGACAGCUGUCGGAGCGGUUGAGUCCUUGCUGACGUCCCCCUGCUUCCGUAAGGGAGCUGAGAGCCACCGUCGUCACAGGGCUAGCGGGGCGCCAUCAUUGCCUAUCUGGCGGAGCUAGCCAGAUGGGACACCAGUCUUGUUCUCUGCGGCCCGAGUCGGCUCGGGGUAGGUGAUGAUUGGCGCNNNNNNNNNNNNNNNNNNNNNNNNNNNNNNNNNNNNNNNNNNNNNNNNNNNNNNNNNNNNNNNNNNNNNNNNNNNNNNNNNNNNNNNNNNNNNNNNNNNNUGACACGUCCAUGAUCUAGGUUUUUUUUUUCGUUAAGUAGGAUAAAAGCGGAAAGAGAAACUCCGAAGAUGCAACUCAUAUGUUUGCUGGGCCUGGGCAGUGGUAAAAAAACGUGUUCCAGAUCUGAAGGCGCCCAUGCAUGUUCCGAUGACCGUGCCGGACGCUGUGCUGCCCCUGCCCGUGCACGAGCAGCUCGUGCGACGUGAACACGCGGGCUUACCUAACGUUUCAGCGGCGACGACGUGACGGUCGCGAACCCACGUUCAGUG
rnacentral:lncRNA from 1 species